rnacentral:rRNA from 1 species
UUAGAGUUUGAUCCUGGCUCAGGAUGAACGCUCUCUGCAGGCUUAACACAUGCAAGUCGAGGGGCAGCGAGAGUGAUAGCAAUAUUACUUGUCGGCGACCGGCGCACGGGUGCGUAACGCGUAUGCAACCUACCAUCAACAGGGGGAUAACACUGAGAAAUCGGUACUAAUACCCCAUAAUAUCUCAUGCGGCAUCGCAUGGGGUUGAAAACUCCGGUGGUUGAUGAUGGGCAUGCGUUGUAUUAGCUGGUUGGUGAGGUAACGGCUCACCAAGGCGACGAUACAUAGGGGGACUGAGAGGUUAACCCCCCACAUUGGUACUGAGACACGGACCAAACUCCUACGGGAGGCAGCAGUGAGGAAUAUUGGUCAAUGGACGCAAGUCUGAACCAGCCAUGCCGCGUGCAGGAUGACGGCUCUAUGAGUUGUAAACUGCUUUUGUACGAGGGUAAACCCCGAUACGUGUAUCGGGUUGAAAGUAUCGUACGAAUAAGGAUCGGCUAACUCCGUGCCAGCAGCCGCGGUAAUACGGAGGAUCCGAGCGUUAUCCGGAUUUAUUGGGUUUAAAGGGUGCGUAGGCGGUUUGAUAAGUUAGAGGUGAAAUGUCGGGGCUCAACCCCGAAACUGCCUCUAAUACUGUUGGACUAGAGAAUAGUUGCGGUAGGCGGAAUGUAUGGUGUAGCGGUGAAAUGCUUAGAGAUCAUACAGAACACCGAUUGCGAAGGCAGCUUACCAAACUAUAUCUGACGUUGAGGCACGAAAGCGUGGGUAGCAAACAGGAUUAGAUACCCUGGUAGUCCACGCAGUAAACGAUGAUAACUCGUUGUCGGCGAUACACAGUCGGUGACUAAGCGAAAGCGAUAAGUUAUCCACCUGGGGAGUACGUUCGCAAGAAUGAAACUCAAAGGAAUUGACGGGGGCCCGCACAAGCGGAGGAACAUGUGGUUUAAUUCGAUGAUACGCGAGGAACCUUACCCGGGCUUGAAAGUUAGCGACGACGCUUGAAAGAGCGUUUCCCUUCGGGGCGCGAAACUAGGUGCUGCAUGGUUGUCGUCAGCUCGUGCCGUGAGGUGUCGGGUUAAGUCCCAUAACGAGCGCAACCCCUACUGUUAGUUGCCAUCAGGUGAUGCUGGGCACUCUAGCGGGACUGCCGGUGUAAGCCGAGAGGAAGGUGGGGAUGACGUCAAAUCAGCACGGCUCUUACGUCCGGGGCCACACACGUGUUACAAUGGUAGGUACAGAGGGCAGCUACCCUGCGAAGGGGUGCGAAUCUCGAAAGCCUAUCUCAGUUCGGAUUGGAGGCUGAAACCCGCCUCCAUGAAGUUGGAUUCGCUAGUAAUCGCGCAUCAGCCAUGGCGCGGUGAAUACGUUCCCGGGCCUUGCACUCACCGCCCGUCA